GAUUUUGAUGAUAUUUUUUUUGUCGUCUUGUCUCUCUCUCUCUCUCUCUCUCUAUCGAACACCUUGGCUCACUUUAGCAACCACCACCGACCUGUUCACAUCCAUUGAUGAGAUUGAAGAACUAAGAAGAAGAAGCAAAAGCUUCUCUCGGAUCUCUCUGUUUCCUCAUCCCUCACCGAUCUUGAAAUCAGGCGAUCUAAGUCUUAGAGGUGACGUAUGUGGGGACUGCAACGAGAGACAUCCUCGAUGUACAAGAGAACGUCGUCGAGAGAUUACUCUCCGAUGCUUGACGUCGAAGAUAGUUCAGGUGUGUUAGAGAAUGAGGUGAACAGUGAAUUGGAAACUACGAAUCCUUCAUGGAAGUGUUCUCUCCCGCAUGUCCUUGUAGCUACGAUUUCGUCGUUUCUAUUUGGUUACCACUUAGGAGUUGUGAAUGAGCCACUUGAAAGCAUUUCGUCUGACCUUGGUUUUAGUGGUGACACAUUAGCAGAAGGAUUGGUGGUUAGUGUUUGUCUUGGUGGUGCAUUUAUCGGAUCUUUGUUCAGUGGUGGAGUUGCUGAUGGCCUUGGAAGGCGGAGAGCCUUUCAGCUCUGUGCUUUGCCUAUGAUUUUUGGUGCUUUUGUUAGUGGAGUUAGCAACAGUUUAGCUGUCAUGCUUUUGGGAAGAUUCUUGGUUGGGACUGGCAUGGGUCUUGGGCCACCUGUGGCAGCACUUUACGUGACAGAGGUAUCACCAGCUUUUGUUAGGGGAACAUAUGGAAGCUUCAUACAAAUAGCUACAUGUCUAGGACUGAUGGCAGCCCUGUUUAUAGGGAUCCCAGUCCAUAACAUCCCUGGUUGGUGGCGUGUCUGUUUCUGGCUAUCAAUGAUACCUGCUGCAGUACUCGCUCUGGGAAUGUUUCUCUGUGCUGAGUCUCCCCAGUGGCUAUUUAAGCAAGGGAAGAUAGCUGAAGCCGAAGCUGAGUUUGAGAGGCUGCUCGGAGGGUCUCAUGUGAAAACAGCAAUGUCAGAAUUACACAAACUAGACCUAGACAGAACAGAUGAACCAGAUGUCGUGAGCAUCUCAGAGCUGUUAUAUGGUCGGCAUUCAAGAGUUGUUUUUAUUGGAUCAACCCUGUUUGCUUUGCAACAGCUAUCUGGUAUAAAUGCUGUUUUUUAUUUCUCUUCUACCGUUUUCAAAAGUGCCGGAGUACCAUCGGAUCUGGGCAACAUCUUUGUUGGGGUUUCAAACCUCUUGGGAUCCGUAAUCGCAAUGGUGUUGAUGGAUAAAGUAGGGAGAAACACUACAACAAAUAUUCACAUUAAUAGCACAUGACGAUAGCUCAUUUUCCACAACUGCUAUGAUAGAAUUUGUAAACACGCCUGCGAUAAUCGAGAGAUUUGCGAAUCUGGAGAAAGAGAUCUUGUAGAUUGAGCAUUCUAUUCAAGCUAAUGAAAACGCCAAUGCUGCUGCUGAUGCUGAGCAAUUACAAACACAAGAUGGUGAAGCUAAUUCUGGAGUAAGUAGUAAUCUAAGGAAGUCGAACGAGUUAUUCAAGAAGGUAUUUGAGAAUGGCAAUGAGGUUACAGGAGAGGAAACCUCAAACUUCAACGUCUUCUUGAAACACAUAGGACAUUGCUACUGUAGGAUUUCGAUAAGUUUUGGUGGUUGCAGUGAAAGCCGUGCAGUAGAUACAGAGUCACUAUGUGUUCUAGCCGGAAAGGUGGUCUGGUCUGUUUGCAUUGAUGUUCACAUUUUUGACAAUGGAAUUGGCUGCAUUUCUUCUUCAUGUUCAGAGCUAUGGUGCAAGGCAGUGCAAGUGUGGAUCAGAGGACCUUGCUCUGUCCAUGACAUCAACUCUUACUCUCUCUCUCUCUCGGAACAAAUUGUAAAUGGUAACAUUUUUUUCCUUCUUCUUAUCUGAGUCAUUGCUUGACCUACUUAGUAGGAGUUGCUCAUGCUUCAUUUGAGUACAUCAAGUUCAUAAUGUGAGUUGGAAUAUCUUAUUGGAAGUUUUGGUAGUCUUGUGAAGGUUUGGAAUAUAUCUUAUUGCUCUGCUUGUUUUAUCCGUUUCAUUAUGUUUUUGUGUUUAUGUCUUGGUAUAGGUUCCCACAUUGCCUAUAUCUGUUAGUUGUCUAUUUGAACAUGUUGUAACGUUGAAUAAUAAGGUUUGUAGGUUUCCGCUCAUGUAUAGGUAACACUUACAAUUUAUGGUUUAUUUAUCUCUAUGUGAUUGCUAUGUGCUUAUAGGGUUAAUGGCAUAUUGUGGCUUCUCACGAUUCUUUUGUUUCAUAUGAGCAGAUAUAUAUGGAGAGGAUAACUAACAUGUCUUUUUCAUACAUUCAAAGUGAACUAGUAGCUGUUCAAUGGACUAUUUCAAGAAACGCUAAGUGAGCAGCUAAAAGAGAGUCUUUGCUACAACAAGUAAGAAAGGCUGGGUUACAUGUACAUGUCAUGUUAGUUUUAUUGUUAGUUUUAUUUUGUUUAAGACUUGGUGACACUUUGU